GUCCAGACUCCUACGGGAGGCAGCAGUGAGGAAUAUUGGUCAAUGGGCGGGAGCCUGAACCAGCCAAGUCGCGUGAGGGACGACGGUCCUAUGGAUUGUAAACCUCUUUUGUCGGGGAACAAAGGCGCCCACGGGUGGGCGGAUGAGUGUACCCGAAGAAAAAGCAUCGGCUAACUCCGUGCCAGCAGCCGCGGUAAUACGGAGGAUGCGAGCGUUAUCCGGAUUUAUUGGGUUUAAAGGGUGCGUAGGCGGACGCUUAAGUCAGGGGUAAAAUUGGGGGGCUCAACCUCGUCGAGCCGUUGAAACUGGGUGCCUUGAGUGGGCGAGAAGUACGCGGAAUGCGUGGUGUAGCGGUGAAAUGCAUAGAUAUCACGCAGAACUCCGAUUGCGAAGGCAGCGUACCGGCGCCCAACUGACGCUGAAGCACGAAGGCGUGGGUAUCGAACAGGAUUAGAUACCCCAGUA
rnacentral:rRNA from 1 species